CUCCUUUUUUUUUUUCUCUUCUUUUUUUCUUCUUUUUUUGGCAGUUUGAUUCACAAACAAAAACAUUGUAGAAGGUGUGC
rnacentral:ribozyme from 1 species